rnacentral:rRNA from 1 species
AUGGAAAGCUCGAGGAGCUGCCUCGUGGACGACGUGAGCAGCGGCUCGUCCACCGGCAAUAAGGCGUCUCCGGUGCCGGCCGCGCCGGCGACCAAGCCGCUGCAACGCGUGGGCAGCGGAGCCAGCGCGGUCAUGGACGCGCCGGAGCCCGGCGCGGAGGCGGACUCCGGCCGCGGCGGGCGGCUGCCGUCGUCCAAGUACAAGGGCGUGGUGCCGCAGCCCAACGGGCGCUGGGGCGCGCAGAUCUACGAGCGCCACCAGCGCGUCUGGCUCGGCACGUUCACGGGGGAGGCCGAGGCGGCGCGCGCCUACGACGCAGCGGCGCAGCGCUUCCGCGGCCGGGACGCUGUCACCAACUUCCGCCCUCUCGCCGAGUCCGAUCCGGACGACGCCGCCGAGCUCCGCUUCCUUGCCGCACUCUCCAAGGCCGAGGUUGUCGACAUGCUGCGCAAGCACACCUACCCCGACGAGCUGGCUCAGCACAAGCGCGCCUACUUCGCCGCCGCUGCGGCUUCCUCCCAUACAUCGUCGUCGUUGCCUCCUGCCUCGUCACCUUCUUCGCCGGCUGCGCCCUCGCCUGCGGCGCGGCGCGAGCACCUGUUCGACAAGACGGUCACGCCCAGCGACGUGGGGAAGCUGAACCGGCUGGUAAUCCCGAAGCAGCACGCCGAGAAACACUUCCCUCUGCAGCUCCCUGCAGCCGGCGCCGCCGUGCCCGGCGAGUGCAAGGGCGUGCUGCUCAACUUCGAUGACGCGGCUGGCAAACUGUGGAGGUUCCGGUACUCGUACUGGAACAGCAGCCAGAGUUACGUGCUCACCAAGGGGUGGAGCCGUUUCGUCAAGGAGAAGGGCCUGCACGCCGGGGAUGCCGUCGUGUUCUACCGCUCCGCCUCGGGCAACAACCAGCUCUUCAUCGACUGCAAGCUCCGGUCCAAGACCACCACCACCACGACGGCCUUCGUCAACGUGGCGGCGGCCGCCCCGUCGCCGGCACCGGUGACGAGGACCGUGCGACUGUUCGGCGUCGACCUUCUCACGGCACCGGCGCCCGAGCACGAGGAGUACGGCAUGGCCAAGACAAACAAGAGAUCCAUGGACGCCAGCGUAGAGGCGCCCACUCCGGCGCACGCGGUCUGGAAGAAGCGGUGCGUAGACUUCGCGCUGAUCCCACAGUGCCCGAGGUCAAGAGAUCAACUAGUAGGAGUACAAGCAGCAGAGAGUACAUUUGCUCUAUAG